rnacentral:rRNA from 1 species
CAGUAGCCGCGGGAAUACAGAGGGUGCGAGCGUUAAUCGGAUUUACUGGGCGUAAAGCGUGCGUAGGCGGCUUUUUAAGUCGGAUGUGAAAUCCCUGAGCUUAACUUAGGAAUUGCAUUCGAUACUGGGAAGCUAGAGUAUGGGAGAGGAUGGUAGAAUUCCAGGUGUAGCGGUGAAAUGCGUAGAGAUCUGGAGGAAUACCGAUGGCGAAGGCAGCCAUCUGGCCUAAUACUGACGCUGAGGUACGAAAGCAUGGGGAGCAAACAGGAUUAGAUACCCCUGUAGUCCCUGUCUCUUAUAA